GCGUUAAUCGGAAUUACUGGGCGUAAAGGGCGCGUAGGCGGUGUAUUAAGUUAGAUGUGAAAUCCCUGGGCUUAACCUAGGAACUGCAUCUAAGACUGAUACGCUAGAGUGCGGUAGAGGAUAGUGGAAUUUCCGGUGUAGCGGUGAGAUGCGUAGAUAUCGGAAGGAACACCAGUGGCGAAGGCGGCUAUCUGGACUGACACUGACGCUGAGGCGCGAGAGCGUG
rnacentral:rRNA from 1 species